rnacentral:snRNA from 1 species
GUGCUCGCUUCAACCGCACAUAUACUAAUACUGGAAAAACACAAGGAAGAUGAGCAAGGCCCCUGCGCAAGGAUGACACACAAAUUUGUGAAGCAGUCCAUGUUUUU